GCUGGCAGUGUCAGGAGUUGGCCUCCUGCCCUCUGGGUUGAGAGAUAUCGAAUGCUGCUUUGCCAAGAGCUGCUUUCUUGGGCCUCUCCAAGGUUCUCCUAUUUGGACUCUGCUGCAGAUCCCUUGCCCUGGUCAGCAGCUACUUAAUCAGAAAGAUCAGCUCAACAUUUUUCCUUGACCCAAUUAGAUUAUCGAAUCUCCAAUAAACGUCAUCUGUUAUCUCUGGA
rnacentral:sRNA from 1 species